GAUGAAGAACGCAGCAAAAUGCGAUAAGUAAUGUGAAUUGCAGAAUUCAGUGAAUCAUCGAAUCUUUGAACGCACAUUGCGCCCGCUGGUAUUCCGGCGGGCAUGCCUGUUCGAGCGCCAUUUCAACCCUCAAGCCCCCGGGUUUGGUGUUGGGGAUCGGCUCUGCCCUUCUGGGCGGUGCCGCCCCCGAAAUACAUUGGCGGUCUCGCUGCAGCCUCCAUUGCGUAGUAGCUAACACCUCGCAACUGGAACGCGGCGCGGCCAUGCCGUAAAACCCCAACUUCUGAAUGUUGACCUCGGAUCAGGUAGGAAUACCCGCUGAACUUAAGCAUAUCAAUAAGCGGAGGA
rnacentral:misc_RNA from 1 species